GUCUAGGCCUGCUGUCAUGUUGCAUCGUCCAUGGUCGGGAAUGUCAGUGUUUUAAGCAUGCAAAUGGCUCGGCAUCAUACUAUCUGUCCGGCAAACUUGAAUCAACAAACUGCUCAACUCUGUGGUCUGCCAAUGGAACGGUGAUUUCAUGGAAGGAUGACACUGGUGAGGAUCAUGCCGGGGAAGUAUUGGCCCAUGAUUCCAAAGCAAUGCUUCUGAAGAUCUGUAGGGAGGACCUCCAAUACAAGGAAGAAUGCCCUGGUUCAGGGGUAGUCAAGUAUGUGCCAUGUUCCUGUAAAUGCAUCAUUCGGGAUGCAGGCCAUAUGAAACGCAAAACCACUGAAGCCCUUGGCCCUGAAGGAGGGUCUAGCCGGAGUCACAUCGCAGUGAUCUUCGGCUCGAUCAUCGCCUUCGUUAUCGCCAUACUCAUCACUGUUUAUGGGCUGGUGUGCAGAUCAGGAGCACCGAGACGGGGAGCGGCACAGUUCCUUGUCUAGGCCACCAGGACUGCAGCAAGCUGUUGGUGAAGACUUAUCAGGACUGCCUAAUUCUACUGCACUGAGGGAGCAUUUUACAAAAGUGGUCCACUAACGGUCAAUUCAUCUUUGGUGCUGUGGUUAGCGUAGCUGCCUUUCCCCCUUGAGCCUUGAGUUCAAGCUUCAAUAUUCAGUAAAACUAUGCUCAUGGUAAAUGGUACAUGGUUGGCUUUGUACAGCACUUUGGAUAAAGGCGCUAUAUAAAUUGCAAUUGGAAUUGGAAAUCAAGGAACACAAUCAAUAUUACACUUUGGAAAAAUCAACUUGGUUUUUCCAUUGAUAUGUAAUCGAUAUCUGCCUCAAUUUAAAAACAAACCGCUGACUUUGACAUAAUCUGGCAUCCAUUCAUCGAUAGACUAAAUUUGUUACCUCUGCACCGAUUUCACAAUUAGUUUCGUUUUUUUCGCCUGUCCGUUUGCCUGAUGUUUUGUUUUAUUUUGUUUGUUUGGUUCUAUUCUGUUUUGAAUGUCUGAUUAUUUUGUGACUCUUGUCUUUUUAACACUUCUAUUGCACUUUAUUGCGCAAAAAAAUUGUAAUAAUAUAUUAUGGUUUUGCACUUCACUAUAGAUGGUUAAUGCUCAAGUUAAUUUUUAGCAGUUUUGACUGGUGGAUAUUGGUGUACUAUUUAGCUGUUAACCAUAUAUGGCUAGAUUAGACAUGUACGCUCUCGGCAUACUUCGGUAAUAUCACUAUGAAACUGUGCACAAAUUAAGCUCUUUGGAUGUUCAUAAGUAACAUAACCAGUAGCCUGAUCACCAAUCAGCCCAGGUCGGCUCAUGUCACCCCGCUUCUCAUUGGCCUCCACUGGCUUCCCCUUGCCGCACGCAUCCGUUUCAAGGCCCUAGUGUUGGCAUUUCAGGCUGCUAAGGGGACUGCCCCACCUUACAUACAAUCCCUGAUCACUCCCUACUCCCCAGCUAGACCACUCCGGUCUGCCAGCUCUGGUCGCCUUACGGUUCCCUCUCUACGUGCACCUGGCGGUCGAGCUGCACGUUCACGCCUGUUUUCCGUUUUGGUUCCUCAGUGGUGGAAUGACCUGCCUACCACUGUCAGAACAGCAGAAUCCCUCCCCCUAUUUCGACGCAGACUCAAAACCCACCUUUUCAAACUCUACCUUAGUCCUCCCUCCUGAUUUCCCCUGCCCCUCCUUUCUGAUAUCCCUAUCCUUGUCUAACCCCCCCAAAAAAAAAAAAAAAAAAAUUCUGAUGACAACUAUGUUCAGAACAGCAUUUCCUGUGUAUUUUGCUAGUUUCUGGAUGUGAUGCUCUGACUUAUGGUAGAACCUAUGCACUUGUAAGUCGCUUUGGAUUAAAAGCGUCUGCCAAAUGACUAAAAUGUAAAAUGUAAAUGUAAAUGAAGAUGCACCUCUUCAAGCAGCACCUCUCCCCAUCCCUCCCUACCUCCCUGUGAACCUUAAUUGUUGUCUUUGUGAUUUACUUUGUGUUUCGGUAUUUUUAGUUGGCUAGGUAAGCAGUAUUUGGAUCGUUAAGUUUGGUCACUUUUGCUUUGUUGUUUGUUUGUUUAUUUGUAGUUAAAAAAAAAAAAAUUAGGCCCUGGUCCUUAUCUUUGUUGUAUGGGUAGCAAUUGAAAUUGUGCUUCCCUCUAGGGUCUUUCAGCGCACUUAUCCCUGGUUAUGGGUAUGCACUUUGUUGUACGUCGCUCUGGAUAAGAGUGUCUGCCAAAUGCCAAUAAUGUAAUGUAAUGUAACCAUGGCAUUAUAUUUGUGGAGAUACAUUGCAGAAUUAUGUUUUAUUUUUUUCAUGUAAAAUUUCAUAUUUGAGUCUGCUGACGUCUGUUAUAUGAAGGUGAUCUGCCACAGAUCCAGAAAACUUGAGUGAAACUCUUGUUUUACUUCAUGAUCAUUUAUGUUUUCACUUCAAACUUUAUUGUGAAAACAGAAGAGAUCAUUAAUACAAAAUACAAAUAAUAUUUUUUAUUAAUGCGUUUUAUCAGGAUUGCCAUCUUUGUCUGCAGUUCACUUGCAUUUUGAGCUAUAAACUGUGUGGAAACAUUACAUUUACAUUACAAUAAAUUUAAAAGAUUUACACAAGAUGGCAGGUCCGUGAAAAUAAAGCAUUGUCAAUGUGUAUCUUAUUGUUGGAGCUCUAUUUAUAUAUACACUGAGUGAGCACUUUAUUAUGUACUUGUUAGACUUCUUUUUUAGACUAGAGAAGUCUUCUGCUACAGAAGUAGCCUAGAGAUUUGAUGCGUUGUGUGUUCAGAGAUGCUCUUCUGCGUACCACUGUUGUAUUGUGUUAUUUGCUUUGCGGUCACCUUCCUGUCAGCUUUGACCAGUCUGGCCAUUCUCCUCUGACAUCUCUCAUUAUCAAUGCAUUUAUGAUAAAGUGAUCACUGUGUAUAUUUAUGCAUUUGUAUUUAUAUGUAUAUAUUUUUGAUGAAUAAUAUAUUUAUUUUAUAUAAACUAUGCUUGUUCACUCCUGUACUUGAAAUAAAAAUCUUUCAGAUACA